AUUGAACGCUGGCGGCAGGCUUAACACAUGCAAGUCGAGCGGAGCGAGGGUGCUUGCACCUUAGCUUAGCGGCGGACGGGUGAGUAAUGCUUAGGAAUCUGCCUAUUAGUGGGGGACAACAUUCCGAAAGGAAUGCUAAUACCGCAUACGCCCUAAGGGGGAAAGCAGGGGAACUUCGGAACUUGCGCUAAUAGAUGAGCCUAAGUCGGAUUAGCUAGUUGGUGGGGUAAAGGCCUACCAAGGCGACGAUCUGUAGCGGGUCUGAGAGGAUGAUCCGCCACACUGGGACUGAGACACGGCCCAGACGCCUACGGGAGGCAGCAGUGGGGAAUAUUGGACAAUGGGCGGAAGCCUGAUCCAGCCAUGCCGCGUGUGUGAAGAAGGCCUUUUGGUUGUAAAGCACUUUAAGCGAGGAGGAGGCUCUUAAGGUUAAUACCCUUGAUGAGUGGACGUUACUCGCAGAAUAAGCACCGGCUAACUCUGUGCCAGCCGCCGCAGUAAUAC
rnacentral:rRNA from 1 species